rnacentral:lncRNA from 1 species
CAGCUGUGUGUCUUAGGACAGGACAGCCUUGGCAUUAUGACAUCAGCUGUGUGUCUUAGGGACAGGACAGCCUUGGCAUUAUGACAUCAGCUGCAGAUGUGCAACAUUGACUCUUUAUUGUCGCGUCCUACGAGAAGGGAGUGGCUGGCAAAAACACUGUUUUCUCACUGUGCUGUGUUGCGGCAAUGGGGUGCAAGGAGGCAGCUUCAGGGUGGAAAAAGAAAAUAAAGUUUCCAGACUUCCUGGAAGAUGUGGGGAACAGUGAGCAUCCAAAUGUGGUUCCUAAGAGGAUCCAACCAGAACAGCAGUAUGAGAGCCUCCCAGAUUUGUAUCAGCCCUGACAGUGAAGUGCCGAGAGAAGAUGUGAGAGAAUAGAGAGAAGCGAAAGUGAUUGAAAGAGUAGAAAGAUGAAAAGAGAGAGGAAUAGAUAGAGGGACAGAGAAAAAAGAGAACGAUGAAGCGAAAGAUGGAGAUACAGGGCGAUUCCACGCCAGCAUAGAAAGAAAAUAUUUUUGGUAUCGCAGAUUGUUCUGGACAUUCUCACAUAGAAAUAGUAUUUUGGAAUCUAGACAUACUCCAUAUUUGAGAGCACACUAUAAGGAAUAUAAUGACUCCAAGAUGUCUGUACCAUGUAUAUUUCACAGAUCAUAUAGGGUUUUACAGGAGGCAUGUAUAGGUCUAAAAAGGGCCUAAAAUAGCCAGUUUCAUCACGACUUUCUCAAAAAUGGUAUGUGAUACAAAUGUAAAAAGCAUGUCAAACAUCCUUCCUCUCAAUGAAGUUUACAUGAGAAUUGCCAGAACAAUCUCAGACAGCAAAAAUAUUUUCCACCUACGCUGGCCUGGAAUCGAUCUAUUCAGAAAGAGAGAGGAAGAGAGAGAGAGAGCGAGAGAGAGAGAGCGAGAGACAGAGAGAGACUGCUAUCUAAACUGGGCUCUUCCUAUUAGUCUGUCCUGCAAUAUGGACAUAAAACAGAUGGACAGAUGUGUAUUAAAAAGGCCUUAUGAUUAAUGAACAGAACCCAGAGAGCAAUAAUAGAGAGAGAGGGAAGGAAGAAGAGACCUGGUUAGAGCACUUGUAUGCAUAAAUUGUCAUCUUUGUUGUUGCGCUCCUUAAAAGGUAUUGAAGUGUAAAGUAUUCCACCCCCAACCCUCUCC